UUGAUAGUUCAAUGUCCACUUUCCAGAGGAGCUGAAAUCAGCUCAUCGCCGGUCCCAGCUAAAUUGCAGACAUGGUCGCUCUCAGGAUCUUCUCUGUCUAUGGUCUAUGGAAUUUCCUAACCAAAAAUAUGUCGCCAGGAAUAGGAUUGGUAGGAGUCACGAUAGAGACCUCUGUUGGAAACGAAUUUUUCUUAUCCUAAAUUACGGCUAAAAUAUUGAUAAAAUUGCAAUUGCGAUAUUCGUAAUCAGAAGAAUUACCUGCAUCUCUCUACAAAAUGAUUUUUGGAAAAAAUGAGCAAUAAAAAUUUAUUCCGAUAUCUGCACUAUUGUGCACUAAGGUAUCAAUAAUCUUAUUUAUUACAUUGUUUUAAAGAACAAAUUGCAAAAUCUGACUUUGUAGCAAGUUUUGCAGCUUCGUAAAACAUGAGCUAGAAAAAGGAAAAAUUAUAUUGCUUCUAAUACAAAAUAUGAUUCAAUUUGAUUUUAUUUACACCGCGAAUAAAUCGAGCAGAUAUUUUUACUUAUUAUAUAAUGCUUUUAAUAAUGAAAUUGCAAGAUUCAGCUCUUUAGUAGCUUUCGUACCUUCAUAAGAAAUAACUUAAAAAAGUCUCAUGAUCUAAAAUAUUUCUUCUACGAAACAAAAUACGAUAGAGUGCAGAUAUUAUCUUCACUGCAAAUGAGGUGUAAAUGUGGUAGCUUGUUGCUCCUGCCGACCCUUAACCAAAUAGAUAUGUUAAAUGUUUAAGCUGUUAAGUGCUGUACUAACUGUUUUAGUGUCGAGCAAUAAUUUUAAUUUUGAAAUUUUUAUUCUUCAUAAAAGAACAUUGAAUAAAUACCUUUUCAUCAAAAUUUAUAUAGAAUUACACCUUAAAUAUUUAAUCUAUAUUCUUGAUUAAAACAAUUAAAAAUACUCACUGUAUCAAUUGAACUUUCAAUGGAAAUUGUACAAAAUUUGCCUUGCGUUUGUGAAAAACAGCCUUCUGAUGUAUGACAUGUAUAUAUGCGUAUAUGUCACUCUUUUAAUACACUUCCAAAUAAAUGAAAAUAUUUCGUGUGUUCAAUUCAAAGCAAAAAAGAGAAUAGAAGACAGAAUACAUGUGCUCAUAGAAUACAUCCUACCAGAUCACGUGACAAGUGCCAAUUAAAGUCGUGCUAAAGUAUCAUACGAUCUAAUAGGCUGCAUUCCGCUCAUGAGUCACGCACUCACUACGAUCCAUUGCUCCACUUUUUACACUAACUUCAUCACACAUAUAUGUAGAAUAAAAAUUAUACACGUGAGUAAUAAUUUUAUUUAUACACUUGUGCUAGGAGAAAGAAGAAGGAAAUAAGGAAAAAUUUUAAAUAGAGAAGUUUAUUUGUUUGUUUCAUGAUGAGUAACGAAUAUGUUUAUACUUAAUGAUCAUGUCAGAAACUACGUUUAUAUAUUUUCUUACUUGGUAUCUAUAUAUAGUAGCGAUAAUUUUUUAAAUAAUAUUUGGAACUUAUGAAGCUUGUAAUGAAUUUAAUUAAUUUGUAGAAUCAAGGAUCUAUCGUACUAAUAAACUAUAAAGAACUAA